CGCUGGCGGCGUGUCUUAGACAUGUAAGUCGAACGGGUCUCUAUCCUGUAGCAAUACAGGGUAGAGCUAGUGGCGAACGGGUGAGUAAUACAAAAGUAAUCUACCUCGGAGUGGGGUAUAAUCCCGCGAAAGCGGGACUAAUUACCCAUAUUCUCCUAAGACGUCGGUUUUAUGAGGAAAGGCUUCGGUCGCUCUGAGAUGAGCUUUUGGCCCAUCAGCUUGUUGGUGAGGUAACGGCCCACCAAGGCGAUGACGGGUAGGGGGUGUGAGAGCAUGUCCCCCCACAUGGGAACUGCGACACGGUCCCAACUCCUACGGGAGGCAGCAGUCUAGAAAUUUGCGCAAUGGGCGAAAGCCUGAUGCAGCGACGCCGCGUGCGGGAUGAAGUCUUUCGGGAUGUAAACCGCUGACAGGGGGGACGAUGACAAUAAUGGCUAAUAUCCAUUGUUGUUGACGGUACCCCCAAAGGAAGCACCGGCUAACUACGUGCCAGCAGCCGCGGUAAUACGUAGGGUGCAAGCGUUGCCCGGAUUCACUGGGCGUAAAGGGUGCGUAGGCGGAUCUUUAAGUCGAUUGUGAAAUCUCCGGGCUCAACCCGGAAACUGCGGUCGAUACUGAGGAUCUAGAGGACAGAAGAGGAGAGCGGAACUCCUGGUGUAGCGGUAAAAUGCGUGGAUAUCAGGAGGAACGCCUAUGGCGAAAGCAGCUCUCUGGUAUGUUCCUGACGCUGAAGCACGAAAGCUAAGGUAGCAAACCGGAUUAGAUACCCGGGUAGUCUUAGCCGUAAACAAUGUACACUAGGUAUUGGCAAUGGUCAGUGCCGCAGCUAACGCGAUAAGUGUACCGCCUGGGGACUACGCCCGCAAGGCUAAAACUCAAAGGAAUUGACGGGGCCCCGCACAAGCGGUGGAUGAUGCGGUUUAAUUCGUUGCUACGCGAAGAACCUUACCUGGGCUUGACAUGUACGUGGUACGGAUCCGAAAGGUGAAGGACCGGGGUUUUCCCCGGAGCGUACACAGGUGCUGCACGGCUGUCGUCAGCUCGUGCCGUGAGGUGUUGGGUUAAGUCCCGCAACGAGCGCAACCCCUGCCGAUAGUUGCCAUCAGGUUAUGCUGGGCACUCUAUCGGGACUGCCCGGGUUAACCGGGAGGAAGGUGGGGAUGACGUCAAGUCAUCGUGGCCUUUAUGCCCAGGGCGACACGCGUCAUACAGUGGCCGUUACAACGAGCAGCUACAUCGCGAGAUGAUGCUAAUCUCUCAAAAGCGGCCAUGGUUCGGAUUGCAGGCUGCAACUCGCCUGCAUGAAGAUGGAAUCGCUAGUAAUCACAGAUCAGCCACGCUGUGGUGAAUGCGUUCUCGGGGCUUGUACACACCGCCCGUCACGCCAUGGAAGUCGUGGGCGCCCGAAG
rnacentral:rRNA from 1 species